CUUUCCCUUUGUAUGGGACUAGGGUAGGGUCUAUAUACCUAUAUGUCUUUCUAAGGCUGUUUCUAAACGUGACACCCCCUGUGGAUCU